rnacentral:rRNA from 1 species
GACAGAGGGUGCGAACGUUGCUCGGAAUUACUGGGCGUAAAGCGCACGUAGGCGGCUUUGUAAGUUAGAGGUGAAAACCCGGGGCUCAACCCCGGAAUUGCCUUUAAGACUGCAUCGCUUGAAUCCGGGGAGAGGUGAGUGGAAUUCCGAGUGUAGAGGUGAAAAUUCGGUAGAUAUUCGGAAGAACACCAGUGGCGAAGGCGGCUCACUGGACCGGU